AGUAAGUCAGACGGUCGCGCCCUGUUGGGUGAGGAAAGUCCGGGCUCCGCAGAGCAAGGAUGCCGGCUAACGGCCGGUGAAGGCGACUUCAAGGACAGUGCAACAGAAAAUAAAUGCCGCAGAAAUGCGGCGAUUGUGGAAAUGUGAGGUAAGAGCUCACAGGGAUGAUGGCGACUGAAUUCCCGUGUAAACCCCAUCCGGAGCAACUUUGGGGACGUUACGCCUGCUCGGCAGUCCCCUUGAAAGGCUUGAGCCCGCCGGUAACGGCGGGACCAGAUAGAUGACCGUCAAAUACAGAACCCGGCUUACAGACUUGCUCA
rnacentral:RNase_P_RNA from 1 species